AACGAACGCUGGCGGCAUGCCUAACACAUGCAAGUCGAACGAGACCUUCGGGUCUAGUGGCGCACGGGUGCGUAACGCGUGGGAACCUGCCCUUAGGUUCGGAAUAACUCCCCGAAAGGGGUGCUAAUACCGGAUAAUGUCUUCGGACCAAAGAUUUAUCGCCUUUGGAUGGGCCCGCGUUGGAUUAGCUAGUUGGUAGGGUAAAAGCCUACCAAGGCGACGAUCCAUAGCUGGUCUGAGAGGAUGAUCAGCCACACUGGGACUGAGACACGGCCCAGACUCCUACGGGAGGCAGCAGUGGGGAAUAUUGGACAACGGGCGAAAGCAUGAUCCAGCAAGGCCGCGUGAGUGAUGAAGGCCUUAGGGUUGUAAAGCGCUUUUACCCGGGAUGAUAAUGACAGUACCGGGAGAAUAAGCCCCGGCUAACUCCGUG
rnacentral:rRNA from 1 species